rnacentral:rRNA from 1 species
CACGUAGGCGGUAUUCAAAGUUAGAUGUGAAAUCCCAUGGCUUAACCAUGGAACUGCAUCUAAAACUAGGAUACUAGAGUUCAUUAGAGGGGAGCGGAAUUUCCGGUGUAGCGGUGAAAUGCGUAGAUAUCGGAAGGAACACCAGUGGCGAAGGCGGCUCUCUGGACUUGAACUGACGCUGAGGAGCGAAAGCGUGGGUAGCGAACA